CSWKUUYUWRCUMMRSCGAGAUGCYUURGUGCCUUCGGGAACYSUGAGACAGGUGCUGCAUGGCUGUCGUCAGCUCGUGAGKGRAAUGUUGGGUUAAGUCCCGCAACGAGCGCAACCCUUAUCCUUUGUUGCCAGCGAUUCGGUCGGGAACUCAAAGGAGACUGCCAGUGAUAAACUGGAGGAAGGUGGGGAUGACGUCAAGUCAUCAUGGCCCUUACGAGUAGGGCUACACACGUGCUACAAUGGCAUAUACAAAGAGAAGCGACCUCGCGAGAGCAAGCGGACCUCAUAAAGUAUGUCGUAGUCCGGAUUGGAGUCUGCAACUCGACUCCAUGAAGUCGGAAUCGCUAGUAAUCGUGGAUCAGAAUGCCACGGUGAAUACGUUCCCGGGUCUUGUACACACCGA
rnacentral:rRNA from 1 species